rnacentral:rRNA from 1 species
GUCGAGCGGNNGAGAGGAGCUUGCUCCUGGAUUCAGCGGCGGACGGGUGAGUAAUGCCUAGGAAUCUGCCUGGUAGUGGGGGACAACGUUUCGAAAGGAACGCUAAUACCGCAUACGUCCUACGGGAGAAAGCAGGGGACCUUCGGGCCUUGCGCUAUCAGAUGAGCCUAGGUCGGAUUAGCUAGUUGGUGAGGUAAUGGCUCACCAAGGCGACGAUCCGUAACUGGUCUGAGAGGAUGAUCAGUCACACUGGAACUGAGACACGGUCCAGACUCCUACGGGAGGCAGCAGUGGGGAAUAUUGGACAAUGGGCGAAAGCCUGAUCCAGCCAUGCCGCGUGUGUGAAGAAGGUCUUCGGAUUGUAAAGCACUUUAAGUUGGGAGGAAGGGCAUUAACCUAAUACGUUAGUGUUUUGACGUUACCGACAGAAUAAGCACCGGCUAACUCUGUGCCAGCAGCCGCGGUAAUACAGAGGGUGCAAGCGUUAAUCGGAAUUACUGGGCGUAAAGCGCGCGUAGGUGGUUUGUUAAGUUGGAUGUGAAAUCCCCGGGCUCAACCUGGGAACUGCAUUCAAAACUGACAAGCUAGAGUAUGGUAGAGGGUGGUGGAAUUUCCUGUGUAGCGGUGAAAUGCGUAGAUAUAGGAAGGAACACCAGUGGCGAAGGCGACCACCUGGACUGAUACUGACACUGAGGUGCGAAAGCGUGGGGAGCAAACAGGAUUAGAUACNCCUGGUAGUCCACGCCGUAAACGAUGUCAACUAGCCGUUGGGAGNCUUGAGCUCUUAGUGGCGCAGCUAACGCAU